rnacentral:rRNA from 1 species
UACGUAGGUGACUAGCGUUGUCCGGAUUUACUGGGCGUAAAGAGCGCGCAGGCGGUCGUUCAAGUCGAGUGUGAAAGCCCCCGGCUCAACUGGGGAGGGUCAUUCGAUACUGAUCGACUCGAAGGCAGGAGAGGGAAGCGGAAUUCCCGGUGUAGUGGUGAAAUGCGUAGAUAUCUGGAGGAACACCGGUGGCGAAGGCGGCAUCCUGGACCGACACUGACGCUGAGGCGCGAAAGCUAGGGGAGCAAACGGG